rnacentral:lncRNA from 1 species
UUUGUUUGAAUAUUGGCCUUGAUAAUCUUGCUAAAGUGGUGGAACUUUUGGGGAGAGACCUAUGAAUUAUUAUUAUUCCACUAAUAAUGUGGAACAUUUGAUGCGCUAGAAACAAAAUUGUUUUAAACAACAACAUACUACAUCAACAUCGACAAUAGCCGCAGCUCUAACACAACUUCAGUUUGCACUUCAAGCGUUUGACUUAGAGAAUUUCCUUUAUGUCUUUCGUCCCACUCGAGAAGUACAUUGACAACAUGGUGAUGAGGAUACAAUGCCAUCAAUGUGGAUGGUAAUGCUCUUGCUAAUUCAAGUAAAGAUGGUAAUGCUCUUAGAAUGCUCUCUAAUUACAGUUUUGUCUGAUUUUUCAUAUAAAAAAAGAAAGGUUAUACAGUAGAAGUGUUGUUUAUACAAAAUUACGAUUAAAGAAAAACUUAGUUAUUAAGUGAUCUUAUAUGACUCACUUUUCUUUUCUAGAAACCGUACUUAGUGCACAUUUAAACACAUUUAAAGUACGUCAAGUUUUACUAAGAAGUUUAUGAUAGAGAAAUUUGAUGGGAAAAACAAUUUCGACUUGAGUAAAUUUCAAGAGAAAAAUGUGCUGAUACAAUUAUGAAUAUACAAAGUGUUUAUUAGCUCACUAACAUUGGUUGACAUUAAUGUAAGGUGCGCUGUAAAAUUAUGUUGAUUGUUGAAUAACUUCUUGAGAAAGUCAAUAUAGAGGUUGCACCAUAUUUUUCUGCAUGAUUUUUGUCACGUAGACUAAAUUCUUGGAGUGAUUUAGCUUAAAGUAAAAAUUCUUGGAGUAGUUUAGCUUCAAAUGAAAAUUAUUAGAGUAAUUUAACUUCAACUGAAGUAUACUUUUUAUGUGAAAUAUGAUAACUCUUUUGAACUAUGAUUGUCGGUGCAGACAAUAAAAGUUGAAGAUGUAUCGAUUUGAAUCAAGGUGGAGAUUGUUAUGUUUAGAUGAAAUUGAGGGUUUGAAAAAAUCUGACAUUGACUGAAAUAGAAAAUGAAGAGGAAGCUAAUGCGUGUG